rnacentral:rRNA from 1 species
AACGCGAAGAACCUUACCUGGGUUUGACAUCUCUGGAUAACCGUAGAGAUACGGCUUUCGUAGCAAUACGACCAGAAGACAGGUGCUGCAUGGCUGUCGUCAGCUCGUGUGGUGACAUGUUGGGUUAAGUCCCGCAACGAGCGCAACCCUUAUUCUUAGUUGCCAGCAUUCAGUUGGGCUCUCUAAGGAGACUGCCGUGGUUAACACGGAGGAAGGUGGGGAUGACGUCAAGUCCUCAUGGCCUUUAUAUCCAGGGCGACACACGUGAUACAAUGGACGGUACAGAGGGAAGCGAAACCGCGAGGUGGAGCCAAUCUCAAAAAGCCGUUACUCAGUUCGGAUUGGAGUCUGUAACUCGACUCCAUGAAGUUGGAAUCGCUAGUAAUCGCGGAUCAGCACGCCGCGGUGAAUACGUUCCCGGGCCUUGUACACACCGCUCGUC